GCAGGGUGGGGAGGGGAGAGGGGCCAGGGCUGAGCAGGAGAAGCAGGCAGGAUAGGUGAGGAAGAGGGGGGUGAGGAGGGUGCGGUUGGUCGAGGUUGCGUCAGGUAAGGAGACGGUGGUAGGCGAAGGCCAGGGGCAGGUGGGGUGGCUGGGAGGUCUGUGGUCAGAGGACAGGUGCUGGUGGGGCCUGGAGAUGGCGGUGCUGCCCCCACCCUCCCAAGCCUGGAGGCCUGACAAUUGCAUCCAAAACAUCCACAGCCACCAUCGUAUCAGCAGCACGGUGACCAUGGCUCACAAUGUAGGGACGAGCAUUCGUGCUGCUUUCUCAGAAUAUUAACGACGGUCCCGGCAGAACGCUGUAUGAAUAUUCAUACGGAGAUCAGUCAAGCCUGGGCUGGUGGAUGGCACAGGGAGAGGGGCUGUGACGGGCUGGGUCCAGGUCCCAGCGGGCACACCUUGGCAGGGUGUGCCCAUAAGUCUCCGCCAGCUCCAGUCAGGAUCUGCCUCCCACGGGAUGGAACAGGCCUGGGCCUAUUGUAUGGCCACAGGCAGAAGAGGCCGAUGGGCGACAUGACAUCACCACUCAGUGAUGGUCAUCGUCCUGGGGGCCCAGAGGCUGGGGCGGGGCUCCUUCCCGAGAGACCCACAGAAGUUCAUCUCAGGUUUAACAGGGGCACUGCUGCCUCAGAUGCUGGGCAGUGGGUGGUGAGGUCCCUGUCCUCACUGGGGUCUGCAGCCAAGGACUGGCCACCAAGGCCCGGGACUGCCAUCCUGACCUGGGUGGCCACGGCCAGUCCUCCUGGGAGCCUAUAGCACCUUGGGCCUGUCCCCAGCUCUCACGGCAGGAGAGGUUUUUUCCCCACUCUGGUGGCCGACACCCUGGUGAAGGGAUUUGCAGAACAGGAGCACGUGGAUUUCCAGUUCUUCCCAGCAGGCACACGCAGGCCGGUACCCUCUCCCUCCCCUUUGGGCAAUACUCAGGUGCUGCUAGACCCUUGGCCCUGCUCACUGCGUGGGCUGUGCUCCACCCAUUCCCUCCCAGCAAAGGUGGUCCCUGGGCUCCCCUGACCUGAACUCUUCUGAGUUUGCUUCUCAGAACCAAGAGGGGCUGGCUCUGCGCCCUGCCUACCUGUCCAGGGGUGGGAGCUGCCCUUUGAAGCUAUCAAUCUGGGUUUUAAGUGUGGAUUCAUUAUUUACAACACCCUGACAUCAUGCUGACAUGAA